GUGAGAAUGACAGUGCAGUUCUCCUCUUGGCAAGGAGUCCAAGCAGGUGCAGAUGCAUGUGGCCUCCCUCUCUUGCCAAAGGAGAAUUGCCCUGCCAUUUUCCC
rnacentral:pre_miRNA from 1 species